GUAGUUAAUUCAAAACCUAUCAGUGUGCAUCAGUAGCUUAAAUUAUUCCUUAUGAUAUGAAAUACCACUCUCUUGUCUUGGCUCAAUUUUGUCUACAUCAGAUUAUUCAACUACCUAUUUUUGGUUGGGUCCUUCUGGAGUUCUUCAAAAUGUUCUCCACUCCUGACUAGCCUAAAUAAUUCUGUUACCUACAUAUUUCACAACCUUCUUAUUCAGGUUUUCCAAAUUUAUUGGUGUUAACAUUUAGAGGAAACCUCGUUCCAAUACUAUUCCCUGGGGCACCUUUUUAUUAACUUCCUUUCAGGCUAACAACAUCGUUUAUUCCUAUCUUUCAUUUUCAUUGUUAUCCUUUUUUGUUUAACAUCAAGGUUUUACAAUACAAAACUUUACCUCUCACCUCUUGGGUCCUACGUAAGGCUGAAAUGGAUGCUAAAUGUUUUCUGGUUAGAGGCUUGAUCAAAAGCCUUUUGAAUGUCUAAAUAUUUAAAGCCCACUACUUCUCUACACGUCACAAUUUUGUUAACUCUUUCAAAAAUUCCAAAUAGAUUAGAGAGGCAUGAUUUAUCUAGGCUGAAGCUGCACAUACUACCCACUCGGGUGUUCUAUAACCCUCAGUAAUGACUUUAUCUGCUAUUUUUUCUCAUCCUGAAGGUAACACUCAUUGGUAAGUAAUUCUCCAGGUUACUCUGAGCUCAUUAUUUAAAGAUGGGCACUCCUGCCUGUUUGUCCAGACAAAUAAGCACCUAAUGGAAAUUCAGACCAAAUAACAUAAAACCUAUUUUCUUUCUGACACAUCCAACCACCGUCCUACAACACCUUGGGGCAUGUCAGAGCAAAAAAAAAGCCUGAGUUCCACUAUCAAAUGAACGCUGUGUACUUUGCCUGCCCUAAAAGGAACAUUAAACUAGGUUUAGUUUAGAUAUAAGGAAAAAUUCCCUGACAAGCCUCUUUAACCCUGAAAUGGGUGUGAAGGGAGGCUGUGAAUUCUCUUUCCCCAGAAAUCUCUGAAAAUAGAGAAAGUCUUCAUUCUUCAGAUGUGGCUUCCUUCUAGUUCUUCCAAAUAGAGAAGAGAUGUUAUGACCUCUGAAAGGCACAUUUCAGUCUCAUUUUGCGAUUUUGUUUUUGAACUCAAUAUAUCGUA
rnacentral:lncRNA from 1 species